AACAAAAAUGUAGAUCUGCCUGUUUACAUCAUAAACCACAAACGCAUUUGCAUCCUGCAACAAACACCUGGGCAACAUCCAGUGGAGACAUUCCCAACGUGUUAACUACUGCCAGGCAACUGGUAAACAGUUCAGGGCUGCAGUCUGGAGUGGAGACCUUUCCUCUGAGGCUGCUGCUUAUAACGGGGCUUUCAUUGAGAUCCUGACCCUGAAGCGUCAUUAAAACAUGGCACAUUCUUGACUUUCAAACAAACUGCUGGGAGGUGGCCAGCAUGGAGCACAGAGCUGGGUUUUAGAGGGGCCUGAGCUGCAAAGUGAUGUGCCACCCCUUUCAUUAGCUGUUGCUGACUGUGAAAAUGCCUUCCCGGAUAGGAAUGGCACAUAAAGGUGAAUUAUACAGGCAGCUCUUUAAGGCUCUGCUAAUAAACACAUGAAAGGAACGGAGGGAAAUAUUUGAAAAUGCUGUUACACUGAACUCCCUUUUAAUGCCACCAGCUGGGGGAGAGUGAGUAUUAUUCAGGAUUGAGUUCUUCUCGUAAUUAACGCGUGUAUUCCGUAAUUAAGCGCUGCUUCGAUUUCGCCGCACAGGAUGGCUCAGGUCGGUCCCUGAACACGGCUGUGGGUGCUAUGGGAUGGCCGUGCUGAUAUCUAUAGGGCAGAUGCCGUCGGAGGGCAGCAGAUGGUGCUGUUCGUCUCCUUUUUGAGGACGAGGAACCCGCAGCCUCCGAGAGAUGCUGGUCCAGGGGUUCCACAUCUCAAAUCGGGUUCCUGUGGUCUUUGCCACACCUUCGAGUGAAAUAACCCGGCGUCCUUUCCUCCACUUUGUGCAUUUUAGAUGAGUUUUUGAGGCUUUUUUUUCCUUCUAACCGUGUCUUUUGUGUUUCUUUCUUUGAACAGCGCUGGAAUCCUGUAACCACAGCACAUCAAGAUGAUGGGAACUCAAUUAAAUUAAGGAGAAACACCAAGAUUGUGAAACUUGGCGGUAGGACAAGAGCUGGUUGCAACACAGGCUGGACUUUAGGUUUGCUGGCAAAUCAAAUGCAUCUGACACUGAAGUGUGAUCUUUUGACCUGAAUCACGAUGAGUGGUUAUGAGGAAGAGCUGCUUUCACUUCUAAAUUAUUCCAUGCAAUGAGCAGAUUUCCAUGGGGUGGCUGAAGUCGUGUCCUGUGAUACGAGGGAUACAAGCAUCCCAUGCCUGCUCUACUUUGUACUAC
rnacentral:lncRNA from 1 species